rnacentral:rRNA from 1 species
GAACCAGACUCCUACGGGAGGCAGCAGUGGGGAAUAUUGCACAAUGGGGGAAACCCUGAUGCAGCGACGCCGCGUGAGUGAAGAAGUAUUUCGGUAUGUAAAGCUCUAUCAGCAGGGAAGAAGAAGGACGGUACCCGACUAAGAAGCCCCGGCUAACUACGUGCCAGCAGCCGCGGUAAUACGUAGGGGGCGAGCGUUAUCCGGAUUCACUGGGUGUAAAGGGAGCGUAGACGGCCAUGCAAGCCAGGGGUGAAAGCCCGGGGCGCAACCCCGGGACUGCCCUUGGAACUGCAUGGCUGGAGUGCGGGAGGGGCAGGCGGAAUUCCUGGUGUAGCGGUGAAAUGCGUAGAUAUUAGGAGGAACACCAGUGGCGAAGGCGGUCUGCUGGACAGCAACUGACGCUGAGGCGCGAAAGCGUGGGGAGCAAACAGGAUUAGAUACCCUCGUAGC